rnacentral:rRNA from 1 species
GAUGAACGCUGGCGGCGUGCCUAAUACAUGCAAGUCGAGCGAACGGACGAGAAGCUUGCUUCUCUGGUGUUAGCGGCGGACGGGUGAGUAACACGUGGAUAACCUACCUAUAAGACUGGGAUAACUUCGGGAAACCGGAGCUAAUACCGGAUAAUAUUUUGAACCGCAUGGUUCAAAAGUGAAAGACGGUCUUGCUGUCACUUAUAGAUGGAUCCGCGCUGCAUUAGCUAGUUGGUAAGGUAACGGCUUACCAAGGCAACGAUGCAUAGCCGACCUGAGAGGGUGAUCGGCCACACUGGAACGGAGACACGGUCCAGACUCCUACGGGAGGCAGCAGUAGGGAAUCUUCCGCAAUGGGCGAAAGCCUGACGGAGCAACGCCGCGUGAGUGAUGAAGGUCUUCGGAUCGUAAAACUCUGUUAUUAGGGAAGAACAUAUGUGUAAGUAACUGUGCACAUCUUGACGGUACCUAAUCAGAAAGCCACGGCUAACUACGUG